CUUAGUGGCAGAUGGGGUGAGUAAUGUAUAGGAAUCUACCUAGUAGUACGGAAUAAUUGUUGGAAACGACAACUAAUACCGUAUACGCCCUACGGGGGAAAAAUUUAUUGCUAUUAGAUGAGCCUAUAUUAGAUUAGCUAGUUGGUGGGGUAAUAGCCUACCAAGGUAAUGAUCUAUAGCUGAUCUGAGAGGAUGAUCAGCCACACUGGAACUGAGAUACGGUCCAGACUCCUACGGGAGGCAGCAGUGGGGAAUAUUGGACAAUGGGCGAAAGCCUGAUCCAGCCAUGCCGCAUGAGUGAAGAAGGCCUUUGGGUUGUAAAGCUCUUUUAGUGAGGAAGAUAAUGACGGUACUCACAGAAGAAGUCCUGGCUAACUCCGUGCCAGCAGCCGCGGUAAUACGGAGAGGGCUAGCGUUAUUCGGAAUUAUUGGGCGUAAAGGGCGCGUAGGCUGGUUAAUAAGUUAAAAGUGAAAUCCCGAGGCUUAACCUUGGAAUUGCUUUUAAAACUAUUAAUCUAGAGAUUGAAAGAGGAUAGGGGAAUUCCUGAUGUAGAGGUAAAAUUCGUAAAUAUUAGGAGGAACACCAGUGGCGAAGGCGUCUAUCUGGUUCAAAUCUGACGCUGAAGCGCGAAGGCGUGGGGAGCAAACAGGAUUAGAUACCCUGGUAGUCCACGCUGUAAACGAUGAAUGUUAAAUAUGGGGAGUUUACUUUCUGUAUUACAGCUAACGCGUUAAACAUUCCGCCUGGGGACUACGGUCGCAAGAUUAAAACUCAAAGGAAUUGACGGGGACCCGCACAAGCGGUGGAGCAUGUGGUUAAAUUCGAUGCAACGCGAAAAACUAAAGCA
rnacentral:rRNA from 1 species